GUCGCCGAGCCGCCGGCGGGCUGCCUCCGCGCUGUCGCCGAGGACCGGGUCGAGGCCGUCGACGCGGCGUUCGAAGGUGCCGGGGCGGUA
rnacentral:tRNA from 1 species